CACUGGUGUUCCUGUGCCCAUUAAGCAAUCCAUGAAUCAGGCAUGUGAGUGGAUUCCAUGUAUUAGUCUGGACAAUAGCAAGAUUCCUAUUCAUUUGAUUUGAACAAACUGGACUAUUUAAAAGGACAGUAAAUGCUAAAGACUGUGAAAGGGUUUAGAGUUUAAAGAAGGAAAAUCAACCUGUUACAUAUUUUCAGAACAGUUAAGAUAUGGAAGUGAUAUUAUAAAAGGAUUUAAUCUUGAGGAAACUUAAUGUAUACUCUAACUUUGAAGCUUCAUAUUCCUCUGCAAUUGCUUUUCUCCUUUCCCCAUCCAUAUUCUGCUGUAAGGCACAUAACAGGUCAAAGGAAUUUAGAUGCCUUCAGUGCCAGAUAGCUUGAAAAAUGUUAAUUGCAUCAUGAAAAUGGAGUGUUGUAUCUAAUUACCUGUGUGUGUGUAAUGUCUCUCUAUCUCUUGAAAAUAAAAGAACUAUAUUUCAUUGUACUUUUCAAACUUUUUAAAAACUGACAAUAUUCUCUCAAGAAUAUUAGGUGAGACCUUGUUAAUAUUUUGAAUAUGGAACUGGAUCUAGUAAUAUACAAAUGCAGAAGAUGACAAAUAAUAAUAAUCAAAAGUAUUUGGUGUCCUUAUUCUGUACCUCUUUUCUUGGGAGAAAGGACUGUGGCUUCAGUAGAUGUGAUUUCCAAGUAAGUGUGGUUUGCUCUGUGGUCUACUUUAAAGCAUUUUUAGUGUUUGAUAUUAUCUGUACAUGAUGUGCCUCAUAGGCAGCAUAAUAUGGUAGUGAGCAUACCAUGAGAUGUGCCCAGGCCUGGUAAAAAGACACAUAACCUUGUCUUCUGGACCACCUCUUUAUUCCUCAUGGGAAACCAGCCAGUCUGAUCUGCUCUGGCAUUAGUCCCCUUCAGACUUGAUCUUGGAUCUUGAUCAGCAUGGGCUUCAGGCACAUCUCAAUUGUAACAUGCUGAAACUUCAAUUCAUGCUCUAAAUUUGGAAUCAUCCAGAACAUGCUGCAAUAGAAAAUGAGCAAGAAAAAAUGUUUCAUAGCUUGCAAUCAGUUGCACAACAUAUUGCCAUUUAUGUAUCUUUUAACAUUCCUCUUGCAUCAAGUUUCUCUUUCUCCUUUUUAAUAAUUUAUUGAAACUUCACAGAUGUUUGAGCCAACAACUAUAUAGUUGUUGAUCUUGUAUGUGCACUACAAAACACAUAGAGUGAUAUCCAAUAGCAUCAGUGCACUUGCGUGAUGGGUUUCCUCUCUUCCCGCUGCUGUUCUCCCUGCACCCUUAAAAACUGCUCUGGAGGGUUAAGGAUAUCCUUGGCAGCAGAUGGGGAGGGGGCAGGGGGCAGCAGAGUGGAGAAGAGGAAGAGGGUCUCCCAAAGCACCCAUGGGCAUGACAUUGAAUACUGCCCAUAUGAGCCAUGUUUUUAUCACAACUGAAACCAUGUCUCAGUACAGAGUGCGUCCUUACUUACAGGAAAUAUUUUAUUGAACUUCAGAUGUUUGAUUUGUAAUUGCUGGUCUUGCCUCUUGCAUAUUUCUUCAGCCAGCUCUGCUAGAGAAGCAAUUACAGUCAUACUUUGGAAGUUGAACAGAAUCCAUUCCGGAAGUCCUUUCGACUUCCAAAACGUUUGGAAAACCAAAGUGCAGCUUCCGAUUGGCUGCAGGAAGCUCCUGCAGCCCAUCAGCAGCCCCGUCAGACAUUCAGCUUCCAAAAAUAGUUCACAAGCUGGAACAGUCACUUCCAGGUUUGUGGCAUUUGAGAGCCAAAACGUUCAAGAACUAAGCUGUUCGAAAACCAGGGUAUGACUGUACUAGAAAAAGGUAGCAUAAGCAAUGGCGGAGCUAGCUGCUCCGGCACCUGGAGCGGCGUGCAUCCGGGGGCAGGACUAGUUGCCUGCGGGGGAGGGGCGAGCGUCCUAGGGGUUCUCUGCCUGCACCGAGUGUCCCAGGGGUGCAUGUCCCGGGGGUGUGCCGCCCCUGCCAAUUGUGCUGGGGGGUGGGGCAGCAAUGUCACCCCCCCUCAGGAAUGAUACCCAGGGAGGUCUGCACCCACCGCAUCCACUUUGCUCCACCUCUGAGCAUAAGCAGAAGUAACCACUGUUACAAAAGUUCAGCAAAAAUUGUGAGACUGACUCAAGCAAGGCUAAUUUAAGGAACAAUACAGUGGUACCUUGGGUUAAGUACUUAAUUCGUUCCAGAGGUCCGUUCUUAACCUGAAACUGUUCUCAACCUGAAGCACCACUUUAGCUAAUGGGACCUCCUGCUGCCGCCGUGCCGACAGAGCACUGUUUCUGUUCUCAUCCUGAAGCAAAGUUCUUAACCUGAAGCACUAUUUCUGGGUUAGCGGAGUCUGUAACCUGAAGCGUAUGUAACCCAAAGCGUAUAUAACCUGAGGUACCACUGUAUUUAAAUAUGUUUAAUCCUCUGUGAAAUAAAUAAUAUAACUACCAAGGUUCAACAAGGGAAGUGCUUUUUGUUGUAGAGUGGGAAUGCAUGGUACUGAAAGAGUCUGACGACGGAGCCACUUACAUUUAAAUCUGGUGGUCCUCAUUGCCAUGUUUUUGGAAGAUUAGCUUGAAGAAGUACAUUGCGCUACAACAAAGAGAACUUAUUGCGUGGCAGCAUACACAAUUGUAAUGACUGAAAAGGCAAUAUAUACUCACAACAUGCACACAUUAAAGAUUUAGAACACAUUAGCAAAAUAGCGUGAUGCCUUUCCUACACAAAGACAGCACCACUUCAAAUAUUGGCACAAAUUUUGUACAUGCUAGCUAUCUUUAUCAUCAAGUUUUUAUUUUCAAAUAGAUGAUACUCAGAAUCAGAGGAAGAAACAAUGGCAUAUAUUUUUAUACAGACUAUUUUAAUGUGUAUGCUUGAUUUAGAUCUAUAUUCAACUGUUUGAUUCUGACUGUCAAGUUUUCUAAUCCUUCAAACCAUGGUUUAGAAGAUUAAAAAUUAGUUCUGUGUUUAGACUACUGUACACAGAAAACAAUGGUUUGACCAAUCAGGAAGUAUGCCGAAGGAAAGAGAAAGAGCAAAUGCAUAAGUCUCAGUCCCAGUCCUCCAAAUCAUAGUUUAACCUUUAGAGAUUUGUGGACAAUAACAUCUGAAUGCAGCCACUAUCAUACUUCCAGCCCCUGUUUCUAAGAAAUUUGAUUUUGCUUAUUACUUUCACUGGGAUUAUUGAAGAAUGAAUGGCUUUUUUUCUUUCCAGGAUGUCUGUUUUUUCUUUGCUUUAAUGAACACAUUUUCUCAUUGUUUCUCCACGAGGGAUGUGUGUGGCCUGCAUGAAAUUUAGCUUCUGAUUGUGCAUUCAGUAGAUAAUAGGCACAAAAAAUGAUCUAAUGGUUUGUCUCAUUGCAUGGUACCAUAUUAAACAUUCACAUUGCAUAUUUUGAUCUGUUGACUUGGAAUGCGACAAAAUCAUAGAAUCAAAGAGUUGGAAGGGAUCUCCAUGUGUGUGUGUGUGUGUGUGUGUGUGUGUGUGAGAUCUGUCCCAACCCCCUUCAAUGCAGGAAUCUCAACACAUACUGCCCCAUCCAGUUUGAAACCAUACCUGACCCUGCGUAGCUUUGCAAAUGUGCUAGAAGUUGCACCACUAAUAGACAAAUUUAAUAUUGAAUGUUUAAGUAAAAGAAUUCAGUGCUCAUCAGUGAGAAGCUACACUUAAGCAACCUUAUCUUUUCAUGUAGCAUGGUCUGAGGUCAAGGUCAAACUAUACUUCUCUAUUUUAUGGCUAUUAGUUUAACCACAGCCUCACGAUAGCCUCUGCUUGUUAAAAAGCUUUGGAGAGGAAAGCAUGUGUACGUAAUCUGAGUUGUGGUCUCUUUCAUACAGUAUUUGCAAGCUUUCGUAUACUGUCCCCCGUAUUUUCCCUUGUGAGCCGCAGGAGGGUAAUGUAUUGCCUUGCUACAAUUGCUCCAUUCCAAACAAAUGUAUUUCUGUUUUGUUUGGUCAGGAAGUGUAUCAAGAAACAACAUUUAUCAAUCUGUCCCCGUUGACACUUUUGGUUAGGCUUUACAUGUAUCUGGGCAGAUCGUCUGUCUGGAUUUGUAGCAGUCCUAAAAGGCAUUGUAAUAUUAAGAUUGCAGGCUCUCGAUCAAGGCCAGAGUUAGUUUGCAGGUGAUUGCUGGACUGAAGAAGAAGUGUGGAAUUGCUUUCCACUGGAGACACAGGAGCAGGAAGAUGAAAAGGGGGACAAGCAGGGCCUGUUUCUGAGGAAAAUUUCAAGCAGACACUUUCUAUGACUGAGCCUUACUUCAGGCUCUGCUUCCUAUUGUAUUUUAUAUGCUGAAGUUUAGGGAAAAUGGCUUUCAUUUUUCAUAAUUUCUAAGCUUUCUGUGUUUCUGACAUUAGUAUUCCCUCCUUUUAAUCUCUGUUUUUAAAUAGUCAAGAUGUUAGGUCUCACCACUAUGUUGUCAUUGAAGAAAUGUGCUCUCCGCCUCAUCCAUACUGCUUCCUGUAAUUCUCUGUGCUGUUAACAGAAGCAUGCUUAUCUUGAAUUCAUAUAUUUGAACUCCACUGUAUCAGCAGCCUGUCAGGUGACCCAUGGAGCUGAUGACACCUCACCUUAAACAGUUCACUCUGAGCAACGCAUCUCUACGGUACGCACCAGGCUAGGGUAGGCUACUAUCAUAUUUACCUACUUGCCUCCCUGCUUCCUUGCCCCAUAUCCAUUUCUACUAUCCUGAAGCUGCUUCUGGAAAUUCUUUUCAUUCUGCCUCUGGGUGGUAUCAUUGCCUUUUGCUUCUCAUGGCCCUGAUGCUGUUGCAGCAUUGGACUGACUAGUCACCAUCUCUAGCAAAAAAAAUUGCAAAGGCUAGUGGCAGCCACAACAGAAAAGCUUACCAUUAAAAAUAAACAAAUAAAGGCUUUAAAUGUUUUGUUUUUUUUAGUUUACAAAGCUUAUAAGCAUGUUGAAAUGUGAAGUUAUUUCCUGUCUUGCUUUCAGUUUUUAUUAUAUUUUUUAUUUAUGCAAAAUCAUUGAGAUGCCUAUAAAAUAUAUUUGUAGGUUUUCCCUUUUGAUAAAUAUGACAGUAAGUGAACAUCAUUAAACGACCCUCUCCUUACAUUAAAGGGUGGAAAGAGGAGAUUGGAGUUGAACUUGUUUGCUGUGAAUCAUGGGUAUGUUUGUAGUAGAAAUAUGACUUCUUGGAGCAAAAUGAAUGUGCAAACGUAUUUUUAUUAUUGUGACUAAAUGCAAGUAAAUUCCUGCACACUGUCAUAGUCAUAGGGGCCUAUGGAUCAUAAACUUCAGUCUAUUUGUAUGCCACUUGGACGAUUCAGUGGCAUUAUCAGAGAGAAGGAACAAGGAAGGCACUUAAAUUUAGAAAUUGUUCUUGUUACUGAAUGUCAGAUAAAGGUGAAGUUUUUAAAAGAGGAAUCUUCCUGAUUUACUGUCUUUAAUGAGCACAUGGAAGGAUGUGCUGAGCACAUCAUUAGUGUGACAGGGUGAAAGGGGCAACAUGUUUCUUCUGUUGCAAUGGAAAGAGGAUGAAUCUGGCACAGCUCUGAUGUCAGAACCUCCAUCACCUUUCUCACAGAUGAUGUAGAUUUUAAUUGUACUCCGGGCUGAUUCGCAUCGCACCAGCUCCUAUGUGACAUUGAGAUAGAUGAAGCCAUUUGUUGGCAUUAUCUGAGCCAGCUGUGUGCUUGGCGGCAGCUACAGUAGGCAUUACAUCUCAUGCAUAAUCCCCUCAUUGAAAGAGUAGCACAAGCAUCUGAACCAUAUGGCAAAUAAUUUUAUUAUGAUCAGAAAAAGGACUCUUGGAACUAGUUAAGCAAGAGAGUCCUUGAAAUGCAAUCAGAAGAGUGCUUUCCUCAAUUUUCUUAUAGCAUUAUCAUAUUAACUUUAAUUUUUAGUUCUGUUUUAGUCUUUGGGGGAAAUGGAAUUCCUUUUUGUUUCACAAAGGAUUUGCCCUCCCCCAGUUAGAAGAUAGUGUGUUGUUUUACUUU